GACGAACGCUGGCGGCGUGCCUAAUACAUGCAAGUCGAGCGAAUCACUGGGAGCUUGCUCCUGGUGGUUAGCGGCGGACGGGUGAGUAACACGUGGGCAACCUGCCUGUAAGACUGGGAUAACACCGGGAAACCGGUGCUAAUACCGGAUAAUCCUUUCUCUCUCAUGAGGGAAAGCUGAAAGUCGGUUUCGGCUGACACUUACAGAUGGGCCCGCGGCGCAUUAGCUAGUUGGUGAGGUAACGGCUCACCAAGGCGACGAUGCGUAGCCGACCUGAGAGGGUGAUCGGCCACACUGGAACUGAGACACGGCCCAGACUCCUACGGGAGGCAGCAGUAGGGAGUCUUCCACAAUGGACGAAAGUCUGAUGGAGCAACGCCGCGUGAGCGAUGAAGGCCUUCGGGUCGUAAAGCUCUGUUGUUAGGGAAGAACAAGUACCGGAGUAACUGCCGGUACCUUGACGGUACCUAACCAGAAAGCCACGGCUAACUACGUGCCAGCAGCCGCCGUAACAC
rnacentral:rRNA from 1 species